AGGACGAACGCUGGCGGCGUGCCUAACACAUGCAAGUCGAACGAGGUCCAACCGGUAGCAAUACCGGUGAAGACCAAGUGGCGAACGGGUGAGUAGCACGUGAGCAACCUGCCCCGAAGACCGGGACAACACCGGGAAACCGGUGCUAAUACCGGAUAUCCCCACCGAGUCGCAUGGCUUGGUGAGGAAAUGGAUUCCGCUUCGGGAGGGGCUCGCGGCCUAUCAGCUUGUUGGUGAGGUAACGGCUCACCAAGGCUUCGACGGGUAGCUGGUCUGAGAGGACGAUCAGCCACACUGGGACUGAGACACGGCCCAGACUCCUACGGGAGGCAGCAGUGGGGAAUCUUGCACAAUGGGCGAAAGCCUGAUGCAGCAACGCCGCGUGAGGGACGAAGGCUUUCUGAGUUGUAAACCUCUUUCAGCAGGGACGAUUGUGACGGUACCUGCAGAAGAGCCCCGGCCAACUACGCGCCAGCGAGCCGCGGU
rnacentral:rRNA from 1 species